rnacentral:lncRNA from 1 species
CCUACCUCACAGGCUGGUUGUGAGGUUCGGACAAGUGACUACCAAGAAAUCCUUAAGAUGGUUCUUGGUGUACAGACUAGCUCUUACUUUUCUUUGUUGAGCAAGACUUUGUAUCAUGAGCUCUUCGAAUCCUCAGAUACUGUCAUCACUCUCAUUUUACAGAGGAGGAAACUGAGGCUCGGAGAAGCCAGGUAUCUUGCCCUGGGUCACACAGGGCUAGUUAGUGGCAGAGCCAAGCUCCCAUGUCUGUUCAGAGCCGGAGGUCUAACAGCAUCCUCUUAAGGAGCCAGCCAGGUACACCUGCUAGCAUUUCUGUGUUAGCAACAGCACAAAAUGCUGCUGUUGUCAAGGUUAGGGUGGAGAAAAUGGGGAGGGUGCUGCUUCCUGGCUGGGGUGCACGUGUGGUUUUCCUCUACAUAAAUAUGUGCAUAUAUAAUGCAUGCAGGCAUAAUAAAUAGGGAAGGCUGCAGGCUUAUGCACAUACAGGCUUUCUGGUGUGCCUGUGUGUGAGUGCAUGAACAUACGAGCAGCUGACUGAAUGAUGCAGCUGCCGCCCAAGCUGCUCGUGUGUGUGUGUCGGGGUGUAGUUCGGGAGCCUCUUCCAAAACAAAGCAGCCUGCCUCCUGCUCCACUGUCCCAACCAAGGGAUUCCUUUCUGCUCACUCCACCCUAUCUGUGACUCUUUUCCCCCACUCCCUUUAGGCAUAUACAGAAAAGCCCACACAUGAUGCCUGGAAAAUUGUAUGUGGUUAACACUAGUUGCAGAAUGAAAGGGAAAAAAUGGGUGUGCAGACCACCAAGAAAAAUGGUAAUGACCAUUUCUCGAGGGCCUGCUAUAUGCUAAGCACUUAAUCCUUCUUCCAACCCUGAGAGCACCAGGCACAGAACUUGGUAUGUGGUAGACAUUUAAUACCUAUGAAUGAGGCACAUACUAUUAUGAUGUCUAUUUUAGAGAUGGGGAAACCGAGGCUCAGAGGGGGUGCAUUGACUUGCCCAAGACUCCACAACUGAGCUGGGAUUUGAACCCAGGUCUCCUCUGAUUUCAAAGCCCUUGCAGUUUCUGCUGCACCACACUGUGGAGUGCUGGGUGGAGAAAGGAAGUGUUCGCUUCCUCUGCUGCAGUGUGGACUAGCUGUUUUUGAUGAUCAAAGGAGACUCACAAUGGGGCUAGGUAGGAACGUGGCUGGGCUGAUAAAUGGCCAGUCUAUCUGCAAACCUGCCUAACUGAGAGGUGGGCCCAUCUGAGCACUUUCCUGCCUCCUUCUCAAGCCUUCUAAGGCUUCCCACUGCCUAGAGGAUAAAGUCCCACUUCUUCAUGUGGCAUUCAAUGUCCUUCGCAGCCUGUCUCCAAGUGCUCCCUUGUCCCUUGUCGUGAGCUUGUCCAGCUGGUCUCGCUGCUCCUGAACUUAACCUCCUGGCUCCAUGAUUCUGUCCCUGCCAUCUCUCCUCCCCAUCACUCCAACCUGGGGCACACUCUCCCCAUUCCAAGCCUUGUCCUCUUCGUCCCCUUGCAGGGGCCUUUUGGGGCAAACCUCUGUCACUCCCCUUCCUGGUGCAUAAACUACUCACCCCUCCCUGGAGCUCCUCAAGCCCCUGCCUCAGCCCAAGCCCACUUGGACCUGGACCUGUCACUGGAUUCGUUCACACGGGCCAAGCUUUCCCACUGGCCCAUGUCUGAGGCCAUCAUCUCUGUGGCCAGUGCACAGGGGAGGACGCUGCACCAGUUUAGGAACUGCACUAACCACAAGGAGAGUAAGAAGCAGGAGUGAAAUGGCCAAAGGCUGGAUUCAGGAAGUGGAGAAGGCAAACUCCACGUGGGCAGGGAUCCUGUUUUAUCAUCUCUGCUUCCUCACUGCACAGAACAGUGCCGGGCACAACUCAAUGCGGAGUUGCUGCCUAAGCCUGUGACCCUGAGAACGCAGGUGCUGCCAGAAUGGAACCCUUAGAGCGAGCUGGACUCUGGCAGCACACAUGGCCUGUGAGGACCCCUUCUCUGUCUCCCACAGACCCUCAAUGGCCUCCCAUUUCCAUUUUUGUACCCCACAGUCUGGGAGCUCCACCCCAGUUCUGUCCUUGGCUGAGUCAUCUUGGUGUCCCCAGGCCUGGCUCAGGGCCUGGCAUGGAGGAGGAGCUGGGUAAAUGUUUGUGGUGUUAAAUUGGACCAGUCUCCAGCUCCUCACUGCCUCCACAUCUGAGGAGCCCCAGGGAAGGGGCCGGCAAAGAGAGAUGAAAGAAGGGAUCGCUGAGUUUGCAGUUUGAGUUUCUGGUUCCUGGGCCAGCCAGUGGGCAAGGAAGGCUGUUAGACUCAGGAAGGAAAGAGCUUUGGAGUCACUAGACCUGGGUUCAAAUCUCUACCAUGUGCCUUACAGGUGUGACCUUGGGUAAGCCCCUUUACCUCUCUCAGCAUCUAUUUUCUCAGUUAUAAAAAUGAGGAUAGUAACCUCAGCUUCAGAGGGAAAUAUGAGGAUUAAAGGCAAUGAGGAGUGUGAAGAGGCUGGCAAGGAUGUGAAGCACACGUCAGAGUGUUUGAGGGUGUGGAUUCCCAUCUGGAUUGAACCCUGGCUCUGAGAACCAGCUGUGCAACCUCAGACAGGUCACUUCACCUCUCUAUGCCUGGUUUGCAAAAGGGGAAUGAUACCAUCAGUGUUUUUCCAGGUUGGUCCUGGACCUCUAGAGAGAACUAAUCCAUUGAGUGGAGUGAGGUGGGGGUAUUCGGCUGCCCAGAGGCCUCCCUGAUCCUCCCACCCCUGAGGCCUGCCUCCCCCAUUCCUCCUGAGGCA